UAGACUACAGUGAGCUCUGAUUGCUCCACUGCACUCCAGCCUGGGUGACAGCAAGACCCCAUCUCUAAAAUAAAUAAAUAGAGACCUAUCAGUGUGAUGGUUUUUCUCCAGCCGUGCUUGACUGCCCAGGUGCUAGUGUGGAGAGGGAGAAAGAGUGGCUUCAUAAGCGUGGGGUUUGCCAGAUGAAUAUGAAGAUCUACUGGUUUCUUCCUGACAGAGGACAGAGCUGCCCAAUCCUUACUCAACAAGCUGAUCAGAAGCAACCUUGUUGAUAACACAAACCAAGUGGAAGUCCUGCAGCGGGAUCCAAACUCCCCUCUGUACUCAGUGAAGUCGUUUGAAGAGCUUCGGCUUGUCUGUGCCUUUCCCCAACAUAUGAGCUGGCGCUUCAAACAGGAAAAGUGAUUGAGCAGAUGGGCAAAUUUUACCCAGAACUGAAACUUGCCUAUGCCGUUCGAGGCAAUAAAUUGGAAAGAGGCCAGAAGAUCAGUGAGCAGAUUGUCAUUGGCACCCCUGGGACCGUGCUGGACUGGUGCUCCAAGCUCAAGUUCAUUGAUCCCAAGAAAAUCAAGGUGUUUGUUCUGGAUGAGGCUGAUGUCAUGAUAGCCACUCAGGGCCACCAAGAUCAGAGCAUCCGCAUCCAGAGGUAGGGAUCUCGAGGGUGGGGGACUCCUCAGACUCCCCAUCUGCAGUGUCUUCUCCCUUCACUUCAGACGCCUCCUCUGGCUUCUGCCUGGGUCUUGGCUCUCGUUACUCUCAGCAGCAUUUGUUUGACGGGCCAUUUCCAUGUCAGCGCUGACCACAGUCCCUCCCAGCCUGGGUUGAGAAAGGAGACCUAGGGACUCUUCCCCAACCCCUGUCCCCAUCCCAGGCCUGCUGCUCCUCCUCCCCAAGACGCUCCUCUCCCAUCAGCCUUCCUGGGCAUCUAGACCCUCCCAGCUGGGGAGGCUGUGCUUCUGUCGCUUCCCGGGGCCACCUGGGGCCACCUACCAGGGCCUUCCCUUGCAGGAUGCUGCCCAGGAACUGCCAGAUGCUGCUUUUCUCUGCCACCUUUGAAGACUCUGUGUGGAAGUUUGCCCAGAAAGUGGUCCCAGACCCAAACGUUAUCAAACUGAAGCGUGAGGAAGAGACCCUGGACACCAUCAAGCAGUACUAUGUCCUGUGCAGCAGCAGAGACGA
rnacentral:sRNA from 1 species